UACGGAGGGUGCAAGCGUUGUCCGGAUUUAUUGGGUUUAAAGGGUGCGUAGGCGGCUCUAUAAGUCAGUGGUGAAAUACUUGGGCUUAACCUAAGAACUGCCAUUGAUACUGCAGAGCUUGAGUACUGUGGAAGUAGGCGGAAUUGACAGUGUAGCGGUGAAAUGCAUAGAUAUUGUCAAGAACACCGAUAGCGAAGGCAGCUUACUACAGAGUAACUGACGCUGAGGCACGAAAGCGUGGGGAUCAAACAGG
rnacentral:rRNA from 1 species